rnacentral:rRNA from 1 species
GACGAACGCUGGCGGCGUGCCUAAUACAUGCAAGUAGAACGCUGAGGAGAGGAGCUUGCUCUUCUUGGGUGAGUUGCGAACGGGUGAGUAACGCGUGGGUAACCUGCCUUGUAGCGGGGGAUAACUAUGGGAAACGGUAGCUAAUACCGCAUAACAAUGUAUGACACAUGGCAUUUAUGUGAAAGGGGCAAUUGCUCCACCACAAGGAGGACCUGCGUUUUAUUAGCUUGUAGGUGAAGUUAUGGCCCACCUAGGGGAAGAUACAUAGCCCGCCUGAGAGGGGGGAUGGCCACCCUGGGACCGGGACCCGGCCCAGGCUCCUUCGGGAGGGAGCCGUAGGGAAUCUUCGGCCAUGGGGGGAACGCUUGCCGGACCACGCCGCGUGAGGGAAGAAGGUUGUCGGGUCCUAAAGCUCUGUUUUAAGUCAAGAACGGGUUUUGGAGUGGAAAGUUCACACUGUGACGGUAGCUUACCAGAAAGCGACGGCUAACUACGUG